CUAAAGACAAAACCUGGCAUCAAUAUAUUAUUGACUGUGAUGGGGAAGAGGUGAUGUCAUCAUGGCUACCAUUUGUCUCGUUUCC
rnacentral:lncRNA from 1 species